rnacentral:lncRNA from 12 species
AUGCACUGUGCUUCAGGGAAGCUUCUCCGGCUGCCCUGUAGAGGCUGCUGGGAGCAGGCGAGGUUAGAUUGGGAGGCGGGAAGGCUGGAGGGAGGUAAAGAGGUAAAGGGUGAAGAAGCCCAAGAGGAUGGAAUCCCAGGAGACAGAGGGGGGAGUGGAGCAGCAAUGCAGCAGGUGUCUCUCCCCUCUUCCAGGCUGUGUGCUGGAAAUGGGGGUGGCCCUUUUCAUGAAGAUGGGGAGCCCAGGAAGGAACAAGAGGAUGUAGGAGGAGACAGUGCCGGGGUUUGUCGGUCCCAAGGUGCCUGCUGGAAGCUUCCAGGAGCUGCUGACGGUUUGUGGCGGGGGUGACUGCAGAGCCUGCACGCGUAUGGCCGUGGGGUGAAGAACACGCUGCCGCAGACACGCCCUCAGGGAACAUCCACGCGUGGUGUGUCACCUUUAAAAAAAAUCUACAGAAUUUGCCUCACUUUACUGCAUUUACAAGAAAUCUACCUUGCAAAUAAGUUUCAAAAAUAACCUCUCGCAGCUCUGCAUCGUGCUCUGCGUCGUGCUCACCAUCUGCAGGGACAGGGUGUGGAUGUGUACGCGUGGCCUGCAGGUUCCAGCCCGGGACAGGCUUAGGUCCCGGUGGGAGGGAGGAGGCAUGGCUUGGAGGGCCUCCCGGCCAGCAUCGCACCCCAUUGUACCUGGGGCGUUGGCCUGGAGGGACAAAUGCUGGGAAAGACACACAGAAGAUUUUAGGGGAUGAUGGAGGAGACAGCACAGGCGCCUUCAGGCAGAGCGAGCCCUCAGAGGCGGACACUCCCCCUGCUAGGGUCCCCACACGGUCACCUGAGCCCCUGGCCCGGGCUCUCUUCUGUGGUAUAAAUGGGGCUUUGGGGAGAAGCAUCUGUGAAGGCUCCGGCCGGGGGGCUUUUCCAGCUCCCUGUCUACCCUCUGACUGGGGUAACAGCCUCCACCGUAUCCCAGCCUGCAUCCUAAAAUCUGACAUUGCACCAGCUUCUCCACUGUUCUCUGCCCGCAUCCCAUGAGGAUGCUGAUGCCAGCCCGGAAGGUUCUCCAUUCCAUCCUCCUUCCCUCUAGCAGCUUGCCGCUGGGCUAUGGAAAUCUCUGUCCCUCCACACUGUCCCCAGGGGGAUGGUCCUGAAACCCGUCUGCAUGCCUGGCCGGCUUACUGAUGCUUAAAAAUCUUCAUGGAGGGCAGCCCGGGUGACUCAGCGGUUUAGCACUGCCUUCUGCCCGGGGUGUGAUCCUGGAGACCCGGGAUAGAGUCCCACAUCGGGCUCCCUGCAUGGAGCCUGCUUCUCCCUCUGCCACUCUCUCUCUCUCUCUCAUGAAUAAAUAAAUAAAAUCUUAAAAAAAAAAAUCUUCU